AUGGCCUUGUCUUUUUCAGCUAUUCUUCAUAUUAUCAUGAUGUCAGCAGAAUUCUUCACAGGGAUCACAGUAAAUGGAUUUCUUAUCAUUGUUAACUGUAAUGAAUUGAUCAAACAUAGAAAGCUAAUGCCAAUUCAAAUCCUCUUAAUGUGCAUAGGGAUGUCUAGAUUUGGUCUGCAGAUGGUGUUAAUGGUACAAAGUUUUUUCUCUGUGUUCUUUCCACUCCUUUACGUCAAAAUAAUUUAUGGUGCAGCAAUGAUGUUCCUUUGGAUGUUUUUUAGCUCUAUCAGCCUAUGGUUUGCCACUUGCCUUUCUGUAUUUUACUGCCUCAAGAUUUCAGGCUUCACUCAGUCCUGUUUUCUUUGGUUGAAAUUCAGGAUCCCAAAGUUAAUACCUUGGCUGCUUCUGGGAAGCGUUCUGGCCUCUGUGAGCAUUGCAUCUGUGUGUCGAGGUAGAUUACGCUAAAAAUGUGGAAGAGGAUGCCCUCAGAAACACCACACUAAAAAAGAGUAAAACAAAGAUAAAGAAAAUUAGUGAAGUGCUUCUUGUCAACUUGGCAUUAAUAUUUCCUCUAGCCAUAUUUGUGAUGUGCACUUCUAUGUUACUCAUCUCUCUUUACAAGCACACUCAUCGGAUGCAACAUGGAUCUCAUGGCUUUAGAAAUGCCAACACAGAAGCCCAUAUAAAUGCAUUAAAAACAGUGAUAACAUUCUUUUGCUUCUUUAUUUCUUAUUUUGCUGCCUUCAUGACAAAUAUGACAUUUAGUUUACCUUACAGAAGUCACCAGUUCUUUAUGCUGAAGGACAUAAUGGCAGCAUAUCCCUCUGGCCACUCGGUUAUAAUAAUCUUGAGUAAUUCUAAGUUCCAACAAUCAUUUAGAAGAAUUCUCUGCCUCAAAAAGAAACUAUGA
rnacentral:lncRNA from 1 species